UGCUCUUCGCUUCUCAUGAAGAGUCAGACCUGCCCAGUGGAUAUUUUUCUAAACGGCCGCAGAAUUUUAACUGUGCUAAGGUAGCAUAAUCAUUUGUCUUUUAAUUGGAGACCGGUAUGAAUGGUUUAACGGAAUUAGGCUAUAUUUUUUAUAUUAAAUAAAAUUUAAUCUUAAAGUCAAAAAGCUUUAAUAUAAUAAAAAGACAAAAAGACCCUAUAGAGUUUUAUUUUUAAUUAUUAGAAAUAAAAUAUUAAAAAUUUUGUUGGGGCAACUAAGAAAAAAUAAAUUUUUCUUUAAUAAAAUAAAUAUACCUUAUCAUUUAUUUAAUAAAACAAAAUAAAUUACCUUAGGGAUAACAGCGUAACUUUCUUUGAGAGUCCAAAUCGAAAAGAAAAAUUACGACCUCGAUGUUGGAUUAGAGUAACUUAAAAUAGCAAAAAAUUUUAAAGGUAGUCUGUUCGACUAAUAACUCUCUACA
rnacentral:rRNA from 1 species